CUGGGGAGUACGGCCGCAAGGUUAAAACUCAAAUGAAUUGACGGGGGCCCGCACAAGCGGUGGAGCAUGUGGUUUAAUUCGAUGCAACGCGAAGAACCUUACCUGGUCUUGACAUCCACGGAAGAAUUCAGAGAUGGAUUUGUGCCUUCGGGAACCGUGAGACAGGUGCUGCAUGGCUGUCGUCAGCUCGUGUUGUGAAAUGUUGGGUUAAGUCCCGCAACGAGCGCAACCCUUAUCCUUUGUUGCCAGCGGUCCGGCCGGGAACUCAAAGGAGACUGCCAGUGAUAAACUGGAGGAAGGUGGGGAUGACGUCAAGUCAUCAUGGCCCUUACGACCAGGGCUACACACGUGCUACAAUGGCGCAUACAAAGAGAAGCGACCUCGC
rnacentral:rRNA from 1 species